rnacentral:rRNA from 1 species
GAUGAACGCUGGCGGCGUGCCUAAUACAUGCAAGUCGAGCGAACGGACGAGAAGCUUGCUUCUCUGAUGUUAGCGGCGGACGGGUGAGUAACACGUGGAUAGCCUACCUAUAAGACUGGGAUAACUUCGGGAAACCGGAGCUAAUACCGGAUGAUAUUUUGAACCGCAUGGUUCAAAAGUGAAAGACGGUCUUGCUGUCACUUAUAGAUGGAUCCGCGCUGCAUUAGCUAGUUGGUAAGGUAACGGCUUACCAAGGCAACGAUGCAUAGCCGACCUGAGAGGGUGAUCGGCCACACUGGAACUGAGACACGGUCCAGACUCCUACGGGAGGCAGCAGUAGGGAAUCUUCCGCAAUGGUCGAAAGCCUGACGGAGCAACGCCGCGUGAGUGAUGAAGGUCUUCGGAUCGUAAAGCUCUGUUAUUAGGGAAGAACAUAUGUGUAAGUAACUGUGCACAUCUUGACGGUACCUAAUCAGAAAGCCCCGGCUAACUACGUG